GGAUUCCUGGCAUAAGCGCCCGGCAGACAGUCCUCGAGCCGAUACUUCUGUACCCGGAUGCUCCUCGAUGCCGUUGUUGCGCAAGUCCGGCAUGUACCGGGAAGCCUGAUACGGCACUGGACCAUCCACCUUGAACCAUCGGGUUCAAGGGCCACGCUGCCAACGCUAUGCCGGGUUUCCU
rnacentral:other from 1 species